AAUGAACGCUGGCGGCGCGCCUAAUACAUGCAAGUCGAGCGAGAAGACGUAGCAAUACGUUUGUAAAGCGGCGAACGGGUGAGGAAUACAUGGGUAACCUACCCUCGAGUGGGGAAUAACUAGCCGAAAGGUUAGCUAAUACCGCGUACGCUCCUUGGACUUCGGUUCAGGGAGGAAAGCGAUACCGUGGGUAUCGCGCUCUUGGUUGGGCUCAUGUCCUAUCAGCUUGUUGGUGAGGUAACGGCUCACCAAGGCUUCGACGGGUAGCUGGUCUGAGAGGACGAUCAGCCACACUGGCACUGCGACACGGGCCAGACUCCUACGGGAGGCAGCAGUAAGGAAUAUUGCGCAAUGGGCGAAAGCCUGACGCAGCGACGCCGCGUGGGGGAUGAAGGUCUUCGGAUUGUAACCCCUUUCGGGAGGGAAGAUGGAACGAGCAAUCGUUCGGACGGUACCUCCAGAAGCAGCCACGGCUAACUUCGUGCCAGCCGCCGCCGUAAU
rnacentral:rRNA from 1 species